GAUGAACGCUGGCGGCGUGCCUAAUACAUGCAAGUCGAGCGAACAGAUAAGGAGCUUGCUCCUUUGAUGUUAGCGGCGGACGGGUGAGUAACACGUGGGUAACCUACCUAUAAGACUGGAAUAACUCCGGGAAACCGGGGCUAAUGCCGGAUAACAUUUAGAACCGCAUGGUUCUAAAGUGAAAGAUGGUUUUGCUAUCACUUAUAGAUGGACCCGCGCCGUAUUAGCUAGUUGGUAAGGUAAUGGCUUACCAAGGCAACGAUACGUAGCCGACCUGAGAGGGUGAUCGGCCACACUGGAACUGAGACACGGUCCAGACUCCUACGGGAGGCAGCAGUAGGGAAUCUUCCGCAAUGGGCGAAAGCCUGACGGAGCAACGCCGCGUGAGUGAUGAAGGGUUUCGGCUCGUAAAACUCUGUUAUUAGGGAAGAACAAACGUGUAAGUAACUGUGCACGUCUUGACGGUACCUAAUCAGAAAGCCACGGCUAACUACGUGCCAGCCGCCGCGGUAA
rnacentral:rRNA from 1 species